rnacentral:rRNA from 1 species
AACGAACGCUGGCGGCAUGCCUAACACAUGCAAGUCGAACGAGACCUUCGGGUCUACUGGCGCACGGGUGCGUAACGCGUGGGAACCUGCCCUUAGGUUCGGAAUAACUCCCCGAAAGGGGUGCUAAUACCGGAUAAUGUCUUCGGACCAAAGAUUUAUCGCCUUUGGAUGGGCCCGCGUUGGAUUAGCUAGUUGGUAGGGUAAAAGCCUACCAAGGCGACGAUCCAUAGCUGGUCUGAGAGGAUGAUCAGCCACACUGGGACUGAGACACGGCCCAGACUCCUACGGGAGGCAGCAGUGGGGAAUAUUGGACAAUGGGCGAAGGCCUGAUCCAGCAAUGCCGCGUGAGUGAUGAAGGCCUUAGGGUUGUAAAGCUCUUUUACCCGGGAUGAUAAUGACAGUACCGGGAGAAUAAGCUCCGGCUAACUCCGUG